CGGGACGGGUGAGUAACGCGUGGGUAACCUGCCUCAUACAGGGGGAUAACAGUUAGAAAUGACUGCUAAUACCGCAUAAGCGCACGGUGUCGCAUGACACAGUGUGAAAAACUCCGGUGGUAUGAGAUGGACCCGCGUCUGAUUAGCUAGUUGGCGAGGUAACGGCCCACCAAGGCGAUGAUGGGUAGCCGGCCUGAGAGGGUGAACGGCCACAAGGGGACUGAGACACGGCCCUU
rnacentral:rRNA from 1 species